rnacentral:lncRNA from 10 species
CCAGCACCUGUCCAGUGAAACAACUUGAUAAUCGUUUCGAGGGGCGUCCGCCGGGUUAGGAAGCCACUGCCUGGCAGCUUGUGGAAGCCUCAUUUGCAAAGCCACCCCUCAGAUGUUUUGAAGAUCGUGACGUCUUGUAACUAGCAGUGUGUGCACAGAAUCCUACUCAAGGAACGUCUUGGCCCAGCGAUGCAAAGAACUGAAGUUUCAAGGUUUUAUGUCUAUUGCUGGAUGGUCGGGGUAGCCCCAGUAACUGGGAACUGCUCCGCAGUCCGCUCACGUGGACCCCUGUGGGAAUAGCAAGCUGGAAGAGCCUGUAUUGUCCUCACAAUAGUAUAGAAGAAUUCAAGAGAGGAGAGAGAGACAGCACCGAAUGAAGACUGUAAAAGAAAAGAAGGAAUGCCAGAGAUUGAGAAAAUCUGCCAAGACUAGGAGGGUAACCCAGAGGAAACCGUCUUCAGGGCCUGUUUGCUGGCUAUGCCUUCGAGAACCUGGGGAUCCCGAAAAAUUAGGGGAAUUUCUUCAGAAAGACAAUAUCAGCGUGCAUUAUUUCUGUCUUCUUUUUUGUUUUAAAAUCUAUUUUUAGGCUGGGUGCAGUGGCUCACGCCUGUAAUCCCAGCACUCUGGGAGGCCGA